ensembl:lncRNA
UAAAAGUGGGGCCUAAAAGUUCAAUAUGGUACAUGUAGUGGUGUAACUUGUCAGAGCCAUUUCACUUAUUUCCCCUGAAAGAAUCAGUUUUGAACUAUUUCCUCACUGUAGUGCAUGUAGUUUAAUCAUUCAAAUAACAGCAAUAACCUUUCACCAUUUAUUAUGUUGUUUUAUUUCUGCAUGUUCCUGAUGUGAAUGGAGCUCAAAGUGCUAUAUUUUGUAUAUAAGAUGAUAUUAUGGAAUAAAAUAAAGAAAUAAAAUUGCAAAAAGACCACCUGUUUAAUAUAACCUUUAUUUUAUUAACCACAUUUCAGUAAAAACUCUUAUUAGGUAGAAAGACAAUUUUCCCAGUCAGUAGUUUUGUAGGGCCAACCCAGGCAUUUUCCAUAUAAUCACUUAACCUUUUACAAACGUGGUCAUUGCCACAGUGUGUAUACGAUUUCAAUGUGAUGUAUACUAGCUUUAAAAUGCCACACAUAUUAGAAAGGUGAUUAGAGUAAAGACUGAUUUGGCCCUUUUUUAAUAUAUGUUUUUGGAUGAGUAUUUCUACUGAUCUGUACCAAACUAGUGUCAAAACUACAUGAUAGACAACAGUGUGUUACAAAAGCAUUGAGAAGAACAAAGCGUGUACACUUCUGAGCCCCCUCCGGCAGUGUCUCUUUCACUAACUUUCAUUUCAUAUAAAAAAGAAGGAAGCUAUAGGAUUAUUAUAGUCACAAAAUAAAAUUUCUUUGGCAUAGAACACCCACCCGAAAGCAUUGUCACACAUACAUACACAUGCACUCUUAAAAGGCUCUCAACCUACAAGCAUUACUGUCAUUAAAAUCAGCAAAGUGCGGCUAUAAAACACAGAUUAGCCCUGUAAGAUUCCCGUACUCGGAGAGAAUUGCAUAUAUUACACUAAGCAGAGCAGAGUCAACAGCUCUACUGACAUAAAUCCUCUUUUUUGUCCCAGUUCGUCAGCUUGUUGGACGUCUGCUUCUUCCAGAUCUGUACAACACAACACAAAAAUAAAGUCACUAACUUUAAAAGG